rnacentral:rRNA from 1 species
UACGUAGGGGGCUAGCGUUGUCCGGAAUCAUUGGGCGUAAAGCGCGUGUAGGCGGCCCGGUAAGUCCGCUGUGAAAGUCGGGGGCUCAACCCCUCGGAUGCCGGUGGAUACUGUCGGGCUCGAGUACGGAAGAGGCGAGUGGAAUUCCUGGUGGUAGCGGUGAAAUGCGCAGAUAUCAGGAGGAACACCAAUUGCGAAGGCAGCUCGCUGGGACGUCACUGACGCUGAGACGCGAAAGCGUGGGGAGCAAACGGG